AGUGAACGCUGGCGGUAGGCCUAACACAUGCAAGUCGAACGGCAGCACAGAGGAGCUUGCUCCUUGGGUGGCGAGUGGCGGACGGGUGAGGAAUACAUCGGAAUCUACUCUGUCGUGGGGGAUAACGUAGGGAAACUUACGCUAAUACCGCAUACGACCUACGGGUGAAAGCAGGGGAUCUUCGGACCUUGCGCGAUUGAAUGAGCCGAUGUCGGAUUAGCUAGUUGGCGGGGUAAAGGCCCACCAAGGCGACGAUCCGUAGCUGGUCUGAGAGGAUGAUCAGCCACACUGGAACUGAGACACGGUCCAGACUCCUACGGGAGGCAGCAGUAGGGAAUAUUGGGCAAUGGGCGCAAGCCUGAUCCAGCCAUACCGCGUGGGUGAAGAAGGCCUUCGGGUUGUAAAGCCCUUUUGUUGGGAAAGAAAUCCAUCUGGUUAAUACCCGGGUGGGAUGACGGUACCCAAAGAAUAAGCACCGGCUAACUUCGUGCCAGCAGCCGCGGUAA
rnacentral:rRNA from 1 species